CCUGGGUCUCCUCCCACGGCUGGAGCCUUUGUUUUAUCUGAGGGGUCGCCUCCCUGGGAGGGAGGCUUGGUUGCCAGUUGGUAUAGGAAGAUGAUGCGUGUCCUUCCGCCAGUCACCUAGUUACCAGCUUCCGUCUGUCAAGAAAGAGACCACAGGCCCAAAAUGGAGUCACUUGUGCUAAGAUGCUUCACCGAAACUAAAAGUUAAUACCUGACCUAAUUGUAGUUUCAGCCUCUCCCAAGAGUGGAAUUUUAAACUACCAACUAGUCUGGAAUUUCCUGAUCAACACUAAUAAGACAGAGGACAAUGAGAACUGCCUGGGACCUGGUGUCACUGUGGUCUCCUGAUACUGACGAUCCCAUCUGCCUACAUUAGAUGGAGGUAAUGAAAAACAAUCUUAAGCAGAUCCAUCGUUUAACUAUAUGUAAUAUUGAGUCGAGUGUUCAUUCCAGGUAAUUUCAUCACUGGAGAUAGUUAGUGGCUUGCUAACUCAAGCCAGGAAAAUGCAUCCCCUCCCGUUUUUCCUGCUCCUCCCUCUUGCUGAAAUAGAGGUCUCCUGGCCAAUUCAGCACACCAUGCCUGACAUACAGAAACACAGAAGGUAGAAUGCCAUAGGGAAAGAGCUGAGUGAGCUUUCAGAAGCACUGGGUCCUAAUCUUAGCCAUCCUGUGUGACAUCAGACAAAUUCCU